GAGACCUGAUGGUCGCAUCCAAUCCUGUAGGCAUAUCAGUGCAUCCGCUAUUUCGCUAUUCAACCGACUUCGGUAGUCACUUAUCACUCUACUUCCAGUGGAGAAUGCGGAUUCUGAUGCUACCGUUGAAGCUGGAAUUGCCAAUAUGUCUCGCACCAUACGCGAUAUAGUAGGAUACUUCCUCCUAUUGACCAUCCACCAUUGCAGAAUGUCAAUAGGUGUAUUUGGACUUACUAGCGCCUCUUUUAGAUAGCUAUCUAGCUCAUUAUGCUUAGUGCGAUGUCUCUGCUGCUCAUCAACAUGGUUGCUCCAACUCGUCCAUGGAUCAUUUGUUGGAGAUGGUUGUGUCUGCUGCUCAUUGCCAAUGUUUGAGUCACCAUGUGCAGAAAAAAAUGCAUUGAACAUGUCUCUGAAAAUCCUCUUCACCUUAGCUAAACAUUUGGGUCCUUCCAUUUCUAACUCAUCCUUCAAGUUGAACUCCAAAAAUUUGUACUUGCACCGAGGAUCAAGUAUUACUGGGAUACAAAUUGUCAAGUAUGAAAGCCUCCAGUACUUCAGGAAUUUUUUCUUCAUUGCAUUUACCAUUGAUCUAAUGGUAGAGUUUGCAUUUGAAGCUUCCUUUCCCAGCAUCCAUUUAACCUUCCAAAUCUCAUUGAAAUAGGUGUUAAUUGUAGAAUAUAGUGAACCAGAAAGUACCAUUGUAGCAUCAUUGAAGAUCUCUAACAACUUGCAAAUUUCUUCAG
rnacentral:lncRNA from 1 species